GACGAACGCUGGCGGCGUGCUUAACACAUGCAAGUCGAACGGAAAGGCCUGCUUUCCCUUGUGGAUUGCGGGUACUCGAGUGGCGAACGGGUGAGUAACACGUGAGUGAUCUGCCCCCAACUUGGGUAUAAGCCUGGGAAACUGGGCCUAAUUCCCGUUAGACCUGCAGGGUGUUGCCUGGGGUGGAAACCGUUUUUCUAUUGGUUGGGGAUGAGCUGGCGGCUUAUCAGCUUGUUGGUGGGGUACUGGCCUACCACGGCGGCGACGGGUAGCCGGCCGGAGAGGGUGGACGGCCACAUUGAGACUGAGAUACGGCCCAGACUCCUACGGGAGGCAGCAGUGGGGAAUAUUGCACAAUGGGCGGAAGCCUGAUGCAGCGACGCCGCGUGGGGGAUGACGGCCUUCGGGUUGUAAACUCCUUUCGACCGCGAGGAAGCCACCUGGUUGGAAGGGUGGUGACGGUAGUGGUAGAAGAAGCACCGGCUAACUACGUG
rnacentral:rRNA from 1 species